rnacentral:rRNA from 1 species
AUUGAACGCUGGCGGCAUGCCUUACACAUGCAAGUCGAACGGCAGCGGACCUUCGGGUGCCGGCGAGUGGCGAACGGGUGAGUAAUAUAUCGGAACGUACCUUUCAGUGGGGGAUAACGUAGCGAAAGUUACGCUAAUACCGCAUAUUCUGUGAGCAGGAAAGCAGGGGAGUCGCAAGACCUUGCGCUGAUUGAGCGGCCGAUAUCAGAUUAGCUAGUUGGUGAGGUAAAGGCUCACCAAGGCGACGAUCUGUAGCGGGUCUGAGAGGAUGAUCCGCCACACUGGAACUGAGACACGGUCCAGACUCCUACGGGAGGCAGCAGUGGGGGAAUUUUGGACAAUGGGCGCAAGCCUGAUCCAGCCAUGCCGCGUGAGUGAGAAGGCCUCGGUGUAAG